UCCUUUUUUCCGGAGACCGCGCCUACUCUUAGCUGAGCGGGCGCGGGAGACGGAUCGUUUACUUUGAAAAAAUCAGAGUGUUUCAAGCAGGCAGCUCGCUCUUGCAUGGAUUAGCAUGGGAUAAUGAAAUAGGACUCUGGUGCUAUUUUGUUGGUUUCGAACACUGGAGUAAUGAUUNACAGGGACAGUCAGGGGCACUCGUAUUCCGUCGAGAGAGGUGAAAUUCUCAGACCAAUGGAAGACGAACCACUGCGAAAGCAUUUGCCAGGGAUGUUUUCACUGAUCAAGAACGAAAGUUAGGGGAUCGAAGACGAUCAGAUACCGUCGUAGUCUUAACCAUAAACCAUGCCGACUAGGGAUUGGAGGGUGUUCUAUUCGACCCCUUCAGCACCUUACGGGAAACUAAAGUCUUUGGGUUCCGGGGGGAGUAUGGUCGCAAGGCUGAAACUUAAAGGAAUUGACGGAAGGGCACCACCAGGAGUGG
rnacentral:rRNA from 1 species